rnacentral:rRNA from 1 species
CAGCCGCCGCGGUAAUACGGAGGGUGCAAGCGUUACUCGGAAUCACUGGGCGUAAAGCGCGCGCAGGCGGCUAUUUAAGUUGGAUGUGAAAGCCUACGGCUCAACCGUAGAACUGCAUCCAAAACUAUUUAGCUAGAGUGUGGGAGAGGAAGAUGGAAUUAGUUGUGUAGGGGUAAAAUCCGUAGAGAUAACUAGGAAUACCAAAAGCGAAGGCAAUCUUCUGGAACAUUACUGACGCUGAGGCGCGAAAGCGUGGGGAGCAAACAGGAUUAGAUACCCUGGUAGUCCACGCCCUAAACGAUGAAUGUUAGUCGUCGGGUAGCUAGUCUAUUCGGUGAUGCAGCUAACGCAUUAAACAUUCCGCCUGGGGAGUACGGUCGCAAGAUUAAAACUCAAAGGAAUAGACGGGGACCCGCACAAGUGGUGGAGCAUGUGGUUUAAUUCGAAGAUACGCGAAGAACCUUACCUAGCCUUGACAUAUAUCAGAACACUUUAGAGAUAGAGUAGUGCCUUCGGGAACUUUUAUACAGGUGCUGCACGGCUGUCGUCAGCUCGUGUCGUGAGAUGUUGGGUUAAGUCCCGCAACGAGCGCAACCCUCGUCACUAGUUACUAACGGUUCGGCCGAGGACUCUAGUGAGACUGCCUUCGCAAGGAGGAGGAAGGUGAGGACGACGUCAAGUCAUCAUGGCCCUUACGGCUAGGGCAACACACGUGCUACAAUGGCCAGGACAAUGAGACGCGAUACCGCGAGGUGGAGCAAAUCUAUAAACC